AGAUAUGAAGGUGAUCUGGCUGAGUUGUCUGUCACACCCCUGAUCACCAAGGUUGAUUCAGCUAGGUGAGUGUCCCCUUCUUCCCUCACUGCUUCACACGUGUCUCUCCCUGAAGCUGUAUGCUUGGUUGAAGAAGACAACCUACCCCUCCAGAAGAGGAACAUUCUUUGGUCCUUUGGACAUACAGGUAGCUGU
rnacentral:sRNA from 1 species